rnacentral:rRNA from 1 species
GACGAACGCUGGCGGCGUGCUUAACACAUGCAAGUCGAACGAUGAACCCGGAGCUUGCUCCGGCGGAUUAGUGGCGAACGGGUGAGUAACACGUGAGUAACCUGCCCUUGACUCUGGGAUAACUGCGGGAAACUGUAGCUAAUACCGGAUACGACCCUCGGCGGCAUCGCCAGGGGGUGGAAAGAAUUUCGGUCAAGGAUGGACUCGCGGCCUGUCAGCUAGUUGGUGAGGUAACGGCUCACCAAGGCGACGACGGGUAGCCGGCCUGAGAGGGUGACCGGCCAAACUGGGACUGAGAGACGGGCCAGACUCCUAGGGGAGGCAGCAGUGGGGAAUAUUGCACAAUGGGCGAAAGCCUGAUGCAGCAACGCCGCGUGAGGGAUGACGGCCUUCGGGUUGUAAACCUCUUUUAGUAGGGAAGAAGCGAAAGUGACGGUACCUGCAGAAAAAGCACCGGCUAACUACGUGCCAGCAGCCGCGGUAA